GACGAACGCUGGCGGCGUGCUUAACACAUGCAAGUCGAACGGAAAGGCCCUGCUUUUGUGGGGUGCUCGAGUGGCGAACGGGUGAGUAACACGUGAGUAACCUGCCCUUGACUUUGGGAUAACUUCAGGAAACUGGGGCUAAUACCGGAUAGGAGCUCCUGCUACAUGGUGGGGGUUGGAAAGUUUCGGCGGUUGGGGAUGGACUCGCGGCUUAUCAGCUUGUUGGUGGGGUAGUGGCUUACCAAGGCUUUGACGGGUAGCCGGCCUGAGAGGGUGACCGGCCACAUUGGGACUGAGAUACGGCCCAGACUCCUACGGGAGGCAGCAGUGGGGAAUAUUGCACAAUGGGCGGAAGCCUGAUGCAGCAACGCCGCGUGCGGGAUGACGGCCUUCGGGUUGUAAACCGCUUUCGCCUGUGACGAAGCGUGAGUGGCGGUAAUGGGUAAAGAAGCACCGGCUAACUACGUG
rnacentral:rRNA from 1 species